rnacentral:rRNA from 1 species
UACGGAGGGGGCUAGCGUUGUUCGGAAUUACUGGGCGUAAAGCGUACGUAGGCGGCUUUGUAAGUUAGAGGUGAAAGCCCGGGGCUCAACUCCGGAAUUGCCUUUAAAACUGCAUCGCUAGAAUUGUGGAGAGGUAAGUGGAAUUCCGAGUGUAGAGGUGAAAUUCGUAGAUAUUCGGAAGAACACCAGUGGCGAAGGCGACUUACUGGACACAUAUUGACGCUGAGGUGCGAAAGCGUGGGGAGCAAACAGGG